CAAUAGCGUAUAUUAAAGUUGUUGCGGUUAAAAAGCUCGUAGUUGGAUUUCUGCUGAGAACGACCGGUCCGCCCUCUGGGUGUGUAUCUGGCUCUUUCUUGGCAUCUUCUUGGUGAACGUUACUGCACUUGACUGUGUGGAGCGCUACCCAGGACUUUUACUUUGAGGAAAUUAGAGUGUUUCAAGCAGGCAUACGCCUUGAAUACAUUAGCAUGGAAUAAUAAGAUAGGACCUCGGUUCUAUUUUGUUGGUUUCUAGAGCUGAGGUAAUGAUUAAUAGGGAUAGUUGGGGGCAUUCGUAUUUAACUGUCAGAGGUGAAAUUCUUGGAUUUGUUAAAGACGGACUACUGCGAANGNAUUUGCNAAGGAUGUUUNCAUUG
rnacentral:rRNA from 1 species